GAUCUCUGAGAGUUGGAACAAUAGCUAGAACCUAUUUGUCACUUUUUUGAUCUCUGUUCCCCUUGCCUUUCUAUUUGCUGCCUGUCAACUCUGUGAGACCUAGAUGGGUCAGGUGACCUGAAGGGGGUUUCUUAGUUCCUAUGGCAGCCAUAUAAGACCACCCUUCCCCAUGGGGGGACUGCCCUGUUUUCAUUUGUACACCUCUCGAGCCUGUCUUUGUAACCCAGGCUGGUCUUGUCCACCCCCCAGUGACCCCAGGCAUGAAGAUCUAUAUUGACCCUUUCACCUAUGAAGAUCCUAAUGAGGCAGUGCGGGAGUUUGCCAAGGAAAUCGACAUCUCCUGUGUCAAGAUUGAGCAGGUGAUUGGAGCAGGGGAAUUUGGUGAGGUCUGCAGUGGCCACUUGAAGCUGCCAGGGAAGAGAGAGAUCUUUGUAGCCAUCAAGACCCUCAAGUCAGGAUACACAGAGAAACAGCGCCGGGACUUCCUGAGUGAGGCAUCCAUCAUGGGCCAGUUCGACCACCCCAAUGUCAUCCACCUGGAAGGGGUUGUCACCAAGAGCACACCUGUCAUGAUCAUCACUGAAUUCAUGGAGAACGGUUCCCUGGACUCCUUCCUCCGGCAAAACGAUGGGCAGUUCACGGUCAUCCAACUGGUGGGCAUGCUGAGGGGCAUCGCAGCUGGCAUGAAGUACCUGGCGGACAUGAACUAUGUGCACCGGGACCUUGCUGCACGCAACAUCCUUGUCAAUAGCAACCUGGUGUGCAAGGUGUCUGACUUCGGGCUCUCACGCUUCCUGGAGGACGACACAUCUGACCCCACCUACACCAGCGCUCUGGGUGGGAAGAUCCCCAUCCGUUGGACAGCACCGGAAGCCAUCCAGUACCGGAAAUUCACCUCAGCCAGUGAUGUGUGGAGCUAUGGCAUUGUCAUGUGGGAGGUGAUGUCCUACGGGGAGCGACCCUACUGGGACAUGACCAACCAAGACGUAAGUCUCCAGGAUGUGGGCAGGUCCUUGCUGGCCAGCCAAGGUGUAAGGGGGUGAGAUCAGAGAUCCUGGCCUUCCCUAUGGUUGAAGACCUAGUUCCCAAACUGAUGAACCUUGGCCUCUCAAAGGGGAGGGAGUAGGGAGGUCCACCAAUCAGCAAAUCCUCAGCAUGUGGGAGUGGCCAGGCUGGAAAAAGCCUUGAUGUAUGUAUGUAUGUAUGUAUGUAUGUAUGUAUGUAUGUAUGUACAUAUGUAUGUAAGUAUGUAUGUAUGUAUGUAUGUAUGUAUGUAUCUCUCUUCUCCUCUCUUCCUUCUUCCUUUCUUUGUGUGUGUGUGUGUGUGUGUGUGUGUGUGUGUGUGUGUAUGUGUGUACACAUGCCAAAGCAUCAUGGUACGUGUGUGAAAGAGAAAAACCUGUGGCAAUCACUUCUCUCCUUCCCUAGAAGAACCAUGUGGGUUCCGGGAAAUCAAACUCAAGUCAUGAACCUCGGUAUCAAGUUUGUUUACCUGCUGAGCCAUCACUUUGGCCCCGAGAUGAUUUUUCAGAGAACCAGAUGCAAGCAUCAGGAACUGUUAUGGUCAGGCACUAAGUUAGUAGCAAGCCCUGUAGGUGUGGAGGCCAGAACAGUCAGGACAAGAUCAACCAAGACCGAUGCACAGAACCAGCUGCAUCAGAAAGUGAGCGUGUGGUGUGUGCUUGUGCAAAGGUGCAGAGGUGAGACUGAGAGGCAGGGUUGGGAGCCGCACCACGAGUGGAAACUUGAUCAGAACGUGUUGUAAGGCUCUCUGUUAGCUUUCUGUCAUUAUAACAGGAUGCCUGUGUUAAUCAACUUAAAAGGAGGAAAGGUUUGCUUGGGCUCAGUUUUGGCCCAUUUCCUUGGGGACAGUUGAUGACAGUGUAAAAGAAAUUGUUCACUUCAUAGCAGCCAGGAAGCAAGGAGAAGAGAGGAAAAGGGACCAGCAUCCCAGUAUCCCCUCCCAGGACGUACCUCAGUGGGCACCUUCUUCCCGAUACGCCCUACCUCCUAAAGGGACUACCACCUUCCAAUACUGCCCCAGGCUGGGCACCAAGCCUUCAGCCCAUUGGUCUUCCAGUGACUUUUGAGAUCCACAC
rnacentral:lncRNA from 14 species